rnacentral:lncRNA from 1 species
CUCCAGGAUCCACAUCCCAAGAAGAAAGCCCUUCCCACUUCACCGCAGUCCCAGGCGAGCCACUGGGGGAUGAGACCCAGGGACAGCAGCCCCUCCAGUUGGAGGAGGAUCAGAGGGCGUGGCAGCGGCUGGAGCAGCUCAUCCUGGGACAGCUGGAGGAGCUGAAGCAGCAGCUGGAACAGCAGGAGGAGGAGUUGGGUCGACUGCGCCUGGGCGUGGGGGCGACGGACUCAGAGAAAAGGGUUCAGCAUCUGACUCUGGAGAACGAGGCCCUGAAGCAGAGCCUGAGUCUCAUGCGGGACCUCCUGCUGCACUGGGGCCCCGGGCCCCCCAUCAGGGCUCCGCAGGUACUCUGCUCCCGAGCUGCAGCCGUUCCUGCAGCCUGGGGCUCUUGCACACCUGGCAUGCAGCCACAGGGCCCGAGCCUCCUCAGGACCUCCCGGGAUGGUCUGUGUAGGGCAGCCCCAUCAGGGAGGCUGAUGCCAAUGGGAAGACCCCCCUCUCCGUGGCCCCUCUGAGUGGCUGACCCCAGGAGAGCAGAGGGACUGUGGGAAGGAGGUCUGCGUGGAGCUGGGAGGCAUGGGUUCACAGCCAGCUCUGCCCACCUCUUGACUUGACUUUCCCAUCUGUGAAAUGGUACCACAGACCGUCCCUCUCUGAGUCCCUCCUGGCCCCCACCCUCCCGCAGGAGGAGGCAGAGGCAUUGCUAGAGCUCCAGGGCCGGCUUCAGGAGGCCCAAGACACCACAGAAGCCCUCCGAGCCCAGGUGGGCAUGGGGCCCAGGGA